UUCUUGUGGAGACGGAUUAAAAGGGAAUCCUGUGAAAGUCAGGAACUAUCCCCGUAGCUGUAAGUUCCUUUUUUGUGGAGGGUAGCUCUUUGGCCACUGUCGCUUUGGCGAUGGGAAGGCGUACUCUCCGGAACAAGUCAGAAGACCUGCCUGCGCUUG
rnacentral:ncRNA from 1 species